UACGUAGGGGGCAAGCGUUGUCCGGAAUCAUUGGGCGUAAAGAGCGUGUAGGCGGUCUGGUAAGUCCGCUGUGAAAGUCCAGGGCUCAACCCUGGGAUGGCGGUGGAUACUGUCGGGCUCGAGUCCGGAAGAGGAGUGUGGAAUUCCUGGUGUAGCGGUGAAAUGCGCAGAUAUCAGGAGGAACACCAAUGGCGAAGGCAGCACUCUGGGACGGGACUGACACUGAGACGCGAAAGCGUGGGGAGCAAACAGG
rnacentral:rRNA from 1 species